rnacentral:rRNA from 1 species
UGCGUAGGCGGCUUAGCAAGCCAGAAGUGAAAGGCAUUGGCUCAACCAAUGUAAGCUUUUGGAGCUGUUAGGCUUGAGUGCAGGAGAGGAAAGUGGAAUUCCUAGUGUAGCGGUGAAAUGCGUAGAUAUUAGGAGGAACACCAGUGGCGAAGGCGACUUUCUGGACUGUAACUGACGCUGAGGCACGAAAGCGUGGGGAGCGAACA